GACGAACGCUGGCGGCGUGCUUAACACAUGCAAGUCGAACGGAAAGGCCUGCUUUCCCUUGUGGAUUGCGGGUACUCGAGUGGCGAACGGGUGAGUAACACGUGAGUGAUCUGCCCCCAACUUGGGUAUAAGCCUGGGAAACUGGGUCUAAUUCCCGAUAGGACUGCAGGGUGGUGCCUGUGGUGGAAAACGAUUUUCUAGUGGUUGGGGAUGAGCUCGCGGCCUAUCAGCCUGUUGGUGGGGUAAUGGCCUACCAAGGCGGCGACGGGUAGCCGGCCUGGGAGGGUGGACGGCCACAUUGGGACUGAGAUACGGCCCAGAAUCCUACGGGAGGCAGCAGUGGGGAAUAUUGCACAAUGGGCGGAAGCCUGAUGCAGCGACGCCGCGGGGGGGAUGACGGCCUUCGGGUUGUAAACUCCUUUCGACCGCGAGGAAGCCACCUGGUUGGAAGGGUGGUGACGGUAGUGGUAGAAGAAGCACCGGCUAACUACGUG
rnacentral:rRNA from 1 species